UACGUGGGGUGCAGGCGUUAAUCGGAAUUACUGGGCGUAAAGGGUGCGCAGGCGGUUUUGUAAGUCAGGCGUGAAAGCCCCGGGCUCAACCUGGGAAUUGCGAUGGAGACUGCAAGGCUUGAAUCUGGCAGAGGGGGGUAGAAUUCCACGUGUAGCAGUGAAAUGCGUAGAGAUGUGGAGGAACACCGAUGGCGAAGGCAGCCCCCUGGGUCAAGAUUGACGCUCAUGCACGAAAGCGUGGGGAGCAAACAGG
rnacentral:rRNA from 1 species